CUUCGCACUUACCCCCACCCUUUUCAAAAAUGCCAUCUUACCAGUCUUUGAGGUAUAUUUCGCAGACUUUCGGUUUUAACCUAGGUCACUCCGGCAUAGGUGAGGGGGUGCCAGCUAGCAUGUGAUGUUGGAGGUGAUCACCGAAUUGUUAGAAAAA